rnacentral:rRNA from 1 species
AGAGCACUCCUACGGGAGGCAGCAGUGGGGAAUCUUAGACAAUGGGCGAGAGCCUGAUCUAGCCAUGCCGCGUGUGUGAUGAAGGCCUUAGGGUCGUAAAGCACUUUCGCCAGGGAAGAUAAUGACGGUACCUGGUAAAGAAACCCCGGCUAACUCCGUGCCAGCAGCCGCGGUAAUAGCGGAGGGGGUUAGCGUUGUUCGGAAUUACUGGGCGUAAAGCGCGCGUAGGCGGAUUAGUCAGUUAGAGGUGAAAUCCAGGGCUCAACCCUGGAACUGCCUUUAAUACUGCUAGUCUUGAGUUCGAGAGAGGUGAGUGGAAUUCCGAGUGUAGAGGUGAAAUUCGUAGAUAUUCGGAGGAACACCAGUGGCGAAGGCGGCUCACUGGCUCGAUACUGACGCUGAGGUGCGAAAGUGUGGGGAGCAAACAGGAUUAGAUACCCUGGUAG